CACACAGACACCCAUCAUCUUUUUCUUCUCUAAUACCAAAGACAAUUUAUUUACACGAAGAAAAACGAACACGAUCAACUAUCUCUUCGUUCGACCAUUGAUCUCUCGACCUAAUUACAAGACCGCGCGAUGAAUUUUUGAUUGAUCUGAUGAAUUUUGACUUCGCGAAAGAAAAGAAGGAAUAAAAAAAGAAAAAAAAAAAAACAAGAAAAAAAAGGAAAAAAAAAAAUAUACGUGAAGAUCGACGACAUAAAAAUACAUUCCACUCGUUCGUGACGAACGUGAAUGAACGUAUACGUAAAUAAACAUCGCAAACUUCGCGUUACUUCUCAUUUUCUAUUGUUGCUCGUGCAAAGAGAAAAAGGAGAAAAAUAAAAAAUGAAAAAAAAAAACGAGAGAGAGAGAGAGAGAGAGAGAGAGAGA